CAUGGCUCAGAUUGAACGCUGGCGGCAGGCUUAACACAUGCAAGUCGAGCGGUAACAUUUCUAGCUUGCUAGAAGAUGACGAGCGGCGGACGGGUGAGUAAUACUUAGGAAUCUACCUAGUAGUGGGGGAUAGCACGGGGAAACUCGUAUUAAUACCGCAUACGACCUACGGGAGAAAGGGGGCAGUUUACUGCUCUCGCUAUUAGAUGAGCCUAAGUCGGAUUAGCUAGAUGGUGGGGUAAAGGCCUACCAUGGCGACGAUCUGUAGCUGGUCUGAGAGGAUGAUCAGCCACACCGGGACUGAGACACGGCCCGGACUCCUACGGGAGGCAGCAGUGGGGAAUAUUGGACAAUGGGGGAAACCCUGAUCCAGCCAUGCCGCGUGUGUGAAGAAGGCCUUUUGGUUGUAAAGCACUUUAAGCAGUGAAGAAGACUCUGUGGUUAAUACCCACAGACGAUGACAUUAGCUGCAGAAUAAGCACCGGCUAACUCUGUGCCAGCAGCCGCGGUAAUACAGAGGGUGCAAGCGUUAAUCGGAAUUACUGGGCGUAAAGGGAGCGUAGGUGGCUCGAUAAGUCAGAUGUGAAAUCCCCGGGCUCAACCUGGGAACUGCAUCUGAUACUGUCGUGCUAGAGUAUGUGAGAGGAAGGUAGAAUUCCAGGUGUAGCGGUGAAAUGCGUAGAGAUCUGGAGGAAUACCGAUGGCGAAGGCAGCCUUCUGGCAUAAUACUGACACUGAGGCUCGAAAGCGUGGGUAGCAAACAGGAUUAGAUACCCUGGUAGUCCACGCCGUAAACGAUGUCUACUAGUCGUUGGGUCCCUUGAGGACUUAGUGACGCAGCUAACGCAAUAAGUAGACCGCCUGGGGAGUACGGCCGCAAGGUUAAAACUCAAAUGAAUUGACGGGGGCCCGCACAAGCGGUGGAGCAUGUGGUUUAAUUCGAUGCAACGCGAAGAACCUUACCUGGUCUUGACAUAUCUAGAAUCCUGCAGAGAUGCGGGAGUGCCUUCGGGAAUUAGAAUACAGGUGCUGCAUGGCUGUCGUCAGCUCGUGUCGUGAGAUGUUGGGUUAAGUCCCGCAACGAGCGCAACCCUUGUCCUUAGUUACCAGCGGGUUAAGCCGGGAACUCUAAGGAUACUGCCAGUGACAAACUGGAGGAAGGCGGGGACGACGUCAAGUCAUCAUGGCCCUUACGACCAGGGCUACACACGUGCUACAAUGGUAGGUACAGAGGGCAGCUACACAGCGAUGUGAUGCGAAUCUCAAAAAGCCUAUCGUAGUCCAGAUUGGAGUCUGCAACUCGACUCCAUGAAGUAGGAAUCGCUAGUAAUCGCGGAUCAGAAUGCCGCGGUGAAUACGUUCCCGGGCCUUGUACACACCGCCCGUCACACCAUGGGAGUUGAUUGCACCAGAAGUGGAUAGCCUAACCUUCGGGGAGGCGUUCACCACGGUGUGGUUGAUGACUGGGGUGAAGUC
rnacentral:rRNA from 1 species